rnacentral:tRNA from 1 species
GCCUUUGUCGUCCAAUGGAUAAGACUAUGGAUUUCUACUCCAUCAAUGAGGGUUCGACUCCUUCCGAGGGCGCCA